rnacentral:lncRNA from 1 species
UGCUGUUUUACAGCAGCAGAAACUGGAACACAUGCAGUCUCAUGAUUGUCCUACUCUUUUGCCAGAUCAUUGCAUUGUCUGCCCAGGCACCCCUCAUCCCAUCUCUCUCCAUCCCUUUUCUUACCUUUUCAUGUUCCUUGUCUUUUCAUGACAGCAUUUAUCAAUGUCUGAAAGUAGAAUGUUGUUGAUUGACUCUCUCUUCAACUAGAACAUAAGCAAUGAGCGGCCCAGCCUUUGUCCCACACACUGCAGUGUGUCCCACUUCUAAGAAAGUGUCCAACACACAGCAGGAACUCAGUCAGCAUUUCUUGAAUGAAUUAAGUGAAGUGAUGCAUACAGGCCACAUUCUGAGCUGCUGGAGGAGCCAGUAGUUGAUUACCAAACUCUAGUCCUUUAUCUUGGUGUCCUGAUGUCCUGACUGAUACACAGUUUGUAGGCAAAUAGCUGGUGGGGUUUAGUAGUAUGGGAUAGAAUAAAGGGAGAUGUAAUUGGGACACUCUCCACAUUAUCUGCCCCCAUGAAAAGCUAGUUCCAGGUGUUGCCAUCUCUGCCCCACACUGGGCUUGCCUUAGUCCUCGUUCCCGCCUUUUCCAGACAGCAGUGCUGAGAAGCAGGAGCCCCUGAGCUUGGAGACGCAGGAAGAGCCCUGGGAGGCCCAGAUCAAAGGGAGGCAGUCAGCUCAUGGAGCCGAGGAAUGUUCUGCUGACACCCACCCCGAGGGUAUCCGUCCAGAAUCAAAUCAGAAGAGCAAUCCCGAGUGCCCACCUCACGGUCUGAAGCACCUCCUCCUACACCCGGACCCAAACACGAGGUCGGCUCAAGGAGGCACUGAGGUCACGACAGUCAGGGUCCUGCGCUGCUUGUCGCAUGCAGUCUCCUUCCCCGAACCGCCGCCUGCACGGCCUCCACUGUUUUCCUAUUGGGCUGCAGCCUGAGAGCCCUGACAAUGCGGCCCACAAACCGGGAACGCGAAAGUGCACGUACCAGGCGCGAUCACCAGGCGCUAGCGCUGAGGGGGGACUCGCGUCACAGUAACCGCCACCGUUGCCGGGGGACUGGCCCCAGCGGCUUGGCCCCCAGGCGUCUGUGGCAGUGCGUCCCCUCUCCGCGGGAUCGUCGCCAUGGUCCUGCGAUCCUAGGAGUCGGGCAAGGCCGAACCUGCCUGAAGAAACCUCAAGCGGAGAUUCAAGGAAGCACCACGUGAUCCCUAAGGAUCCCAAAGAUGCGUCGGGCAUGCAUGGGCGGUGUGAGGGUGCGUCUCCCUGACAGGUGUCCCCGCUGGGAUUUCGAGCAAUGCUGAGAAGCCGAAGGCCCUGGUCUUGGAGACCAGGACAGGGCCCUGGGAGGCCCAGGUCGAAAGGGGGCCAGUCAGCUCAUGGGGCGAGGGAAUGUCCUGCUCACACCCUCCACUGGGGUCUCAGGAAUUAUCCGAUGAAAAGUAGAAGAGGUUGAAUGACUUUCAGUGGCCUUUUCUUCACAGAUUUUCCAUAUGCUGUUCCAUCUGCCAAGAAUGCUCUCAAAGUGGCCACCUCCUUUGCGUGUGAAAUGUCCUAGCUUAAAUGUCAGCUGCUCAGAAAGACUAUCCUGGAUCACUUUAAUUAGGUCCAUGCCAGGGCUCACCUGAAACUUCAUGUACCAUUGCACUUCCUGAGAAGCUGUCCCCAAUCCCAGGCUCCUAGCAAUGCUGUUCCAGUAAUCUCUCUUCUGUAAGACAGCCACUCCACCCACUGCAGUCUACAAGGAAAGCCUCCAUAGCUGUGAUUAUUCAGUAAGAACAGUCUCAGGAAAACAGGACCUUCAACAGAGAUAAGAGAAUUAAAAUAUGCAGACUAACAACUCUGGGAAUGGGCUGACCAGCCUGAUAAGAAUAGGCUGAUGGCACCUACAGAAGGCCACAAAACACUGACCAAGAAAGCAAUGACCAACAAAGCAAUGACCUGAGACUGCACAUUUCACAAGAAUGUUUUGAUCAUCAUUUUUUCUAAUUUCCCUUAAAAACCCCUGAUAUGGAGACAGAACUCGGCGGUCUUUGAACACUAGUUCACUGCCUCCCCUGGGUUGUUGGAUUCCUGAAUAGAGCUAACCAUCCUUUCACCAAUGCUCAUCUCUUAAACUUUCAAGUGACAAGUGGUCUGGACCUGAAUUUCGUUACAAAACCUAUGUAUACCUUACCUUACAUGGCAAAGGGGACUUUAGAAGUGCAAUUAAAUUAAGGAUCUUGAGAGGGGGUUAUCCUGGAUUAUCUGGUUGGGCCCAAUGUAUUUGUAAGUGAUAGAGGGAGGCAGGUGAGUAAAAAAAGGAAACGUGAUGAUGAAAGCACAAGUCAAAAUGUGAUUGCUGGCUUUGAAAAUGGAUGGAAGCCACACCCCAGGGAUCGUGGACAGCCUUUAGAACCAGAAAAGGACAAGGAAACAGAUUCUCCAGUCCUCUAGAACCUCCAGAAGGAACAUGGCUCUGCUAAUACUAUGAUAUUAGCCCUUUCAGACUGAUUUCAGACUUCUGACCAGCAGAGGUAUAAAUCAUAAUUAUAUUGAUUUAAGCCACUAAAUUAGUGGUUAUUAGUAACGGCAGCAACAGGAAACUAUAUCAGCAACAAGACUCCUUCCUUCAUAGAACCCAAUUCCCAACCAAUUUUCAAACUUUCACAGAAAAUCUUGCCACACACUGAGACUAGGAACAUCCAACAAAAAAAUGCUAUCACUUUCAAAUGGAAAACCCAGGAUUGUAGAGAAGAUCAAAUUUUGUCAUGUAUCACAUUUAAACACUCAUCUCUACCUCACCAAACCGUGGUACUAAUGUGUACCAAUCUUAAAAGGAGGUAUUUCUGUUCCCUCAGAGCUCUGGGCAGAAGACUAUGCCUGUGGACAAUGUAGAAUUAUCUGCUGAAUGAAUAUCUGAAAACUGUUUGGAGAGGGGAAAAGCAUUGAGAAGAAUUGGGCUCUUUGCUACUAUUACUCGCUAGAAUGGGAGACGUUUGGAAGCAGUUCCCUUAAGGAACCAAACAAGGCAGGAAAUUCUGGGAUAAAUCUGGUGUUCACAUUACACAACAAAAUGAUUGUACUUCAAGAAGGAAAGAAACAGCAACUCACGUGGGGCAUGGUUUUUUAGAACUGAUCAAUUUUCUGGGUUCUUCUCCUGGAGGUGUGCAAAGUCCAGAGAAGCCAGUGCUGGACAAGGAAAAGAAGCCACAAGAUUAGACUUGGCUCACAGCCCACAAAAUAAACUACUUAGAACUACCUUUACUUCUCCUCUUUUGGGAAUUUGGAAAAAAUCUCAGUUCUUCCACAAACCCAAUGGAAGCCAGCUACUGCAGAAGGGGUUCAGGCAGACCUUUCCUUAAUGUCCAUGUUGAACAGGACCCUAGGUGCUGUUACUUUCCCAUGGCAUCUCCUCUUCCACAGUAGAACAGAGGCAUGCCCAGGGAGCCCCCCACCAUCCUCCUGGACCCAAACACUAAGUCAGGUACUUUGCUCCCAAUCUUAGGAAGGGGCUUCAGAGACCAAAAUGUGGCCUUCUUUCAGACGUCAUGAACAUCAGCUAGACUCACAGACAUUUUGACAGACAUAUCAGGGUCAACAGAUCCAAAACAGUCUCAUCCCACUCCCCUGAAUCUAGUUCUUUCUUGCCUGUUUACUCUUCCCUAUAAAAGAAAAUUCCUUUAUGCCUGACCUUUGCUAUGCUUGCAGAUCUUAUGGCUGGAGUAUUCUCCCAAUUACAACACCUCCUCCCUUACUGCAGUGUUCCUGUGAAUAAAGUCAUUCCUUACCAAAGUCUGGAUUUGUUUUUUUAUUUCACAGGUUGAAUAACUUUUGUAGAAUAACAAAACAAACUAUUUUAACUGUAACCUAAUU